rnacentral:rRNA from 1 species
UACGUAGGGGGCAAGCGUUGUCCGGAAUCAUUGGGCGUAAAGCGCGUGUAGGCGGUUCGGUAAGUCUGCUGUGAAAGUCCAGGGCUCAACCCUGGGAUGCCGGUGGAUACUGUCGGACUAGAGUACGGAAGAGGCGAGUGGAAUUCCUGGUGUAGCGGUGGAAUGCGCAGAUAUCAGGAGGAACACCAAUAGCGAAGGCAGCUCGCUGGGACGUAACUGACGCUGAGACGCGAAAGCGUGGGGAGCAAACAGG